rnacentral:rRNA from 1 species
AACGAACGCUGGCGGCAGGCUUAACACAUGCAAGUCGAACGAUGUAUCAAUACAUAGUGGCGCACGGGCGAGUCACGCGUGGGAAUAUACCUUAUAGUGGGGAAUAACGUUGGGAAACUAACGAUCAUACGGCAUACGCCCGAGAGGGGGAAGAUUUAUCGCAAUAAGAUUAGCCCGCGUGGGAUUAGGUAGUUGGUGGGGUAAUGGCCUACCAGACCUACGAUCUCUAGCUGGUAUGUGAGGAUGAUCAGCCACACUGGAACUGAGACACGGUCCAGACUCCUACGGGAGGCAGCAGUGGGGAAUAUUGGGAAAUGGAGGAAACUAUGACCCAGCCAUGCCGCGUGAAUGAUGAAGGCCUUAGGGUUGUAAAGUUCUUUCGCCGAUGAAGAUAAUGACGGUAGUCGGAGAAGAAGCCCCGGCUAACUUCGUGCCAGCAGCCGCGGUAA